rnacentral:rRNA from 1 species
AUGGCUCCUGGAGCUUCCACCCGUGACGAGCAUCUUCUCCAUCGUAUCCUCCUUGGACGUAUACACCAAGUACCCUGGAUCGCCAAGUCCGACUACAAAGCGAAGACCAUGCACCACUACUGUUCCUGUGGAUUUUGGCAAGUACCCGUACGGACGGAUACGCCAAGGUCGACUACACCUAAUGAUGCAACAAAUACCUCUACCGAUGACUCGAAUGUCUACGAACCGUGUACCACGACGAACAUGUACGGCUACACGACGACCCGCCAAGACCCUGAACAACUACCGCCGCCGCCGUGUACCACUACUUCCACUACCGUCGUCGUGAACGACUACUUCCACGACGUCCAUGAACUACUACUUCCACUAUCGUCGCCGAUGACCGAUAGCACCACUACUUCCCACUACGACACGAGCACAACUACUUUCCACGACGACCCGUGA